GAAAGAAGAGGCUAUCAAGAAAACAAAAAAGGAACUGUCAGAAAGAAACUAUGUAACUGAACGCCAUCUAUUGCUUAAAAUGUUGGGAGAAAAUACAUUUGUGUAAAAAAGUCACUUUACUCUCUGUUAGUUGAACUGUGUUCUUCAGACUUCACUCAUUUUAUAAGAGAAACAGCAUGGUCGCCACACCUGUGGGCACAUGCAUGUUGGAGCACAUUGGGCCCAAUGCCAUGCCUGGGAUUCUGGCUUUUCCAUGUCCUACUGUUCAACCAUGAGAAGGGUGGUGUUGUCUACUAGCAUUUCAGCCAGCGGUAUGACAUAAGAAGUCGAACAACUCUCUAUCGUGUGGGGACCUAAUUUCCUUGGACAAUUUAGGAUGGAGUUGUGAAGAAAUGGGUUUAACCCAUUGCUUCUUGUUCGUUUUGUUUCUACAUUCAGUUAUGGAAAGAACUAAGAAUGAUAGUCGUUCCCCGCCCCACAACUAAUAUGAAACAGGUAAUACGCUGUGCGAAAGCAACCUGGAGCAAGGAAAUCAGGAACAGCUGGGCCUAACACAGCGCGGUUACACAUGUCCUUUCUGAGAGACAAAUCAGAACAGCUCAAGAGGAAGGCAGCCGAGACACACGAACUUCUAAAACUCUGCACUCGCCAGCUGGAGGAACGAAUUGCGCUGGGAGAACUUAAGAGUCACUUGAGAGUAUUUAGUUCUCCAAGUGAGUAGCAAAACUGUGCUAAUGAGGUCUUUAACACCUGUACUCUGACCAGCAGCUGAGUCUAAGCAGAACCAGGUGGGGCAGCCAACAGCUUAGAGGUGGCCGAAGGGAGCUCGAAACCAGAAAGAGAAGCCCCUGUUCCUGGUCGGUUGCUGGAGUAGAACGAGGGUGAAAACCCGGACUGGAAGGCAGCUGUGUCUCUACAGUUCACAGCCAAGAGGGCAUUGCCCUGAGGAGUCAAGCUGUCCAAUCACAAGCCCGGCCCAGGUCUCACCAACAGUUCCUUGCAGCCCUCUUCCUGAAGAUCUUUGAGGGGAAAUACAAAGAAGAAAUAUUUCAGACCACAGCGUGAUAAAGAAGUCCUGAUCGCCCAGUGCAUCUUUAUGUUGUGUCAUAAAGAACUGAAAACCACACGUAAAAGCAUGGUGUGACUUCCUGAAAGGCCAGUUUUUAUGAUACUCUUGGUAUUGUGAGUUGGUGUUGGGUGACCAGCUGUGAGCAGGAUGAAACUCAAAGACGGCUCUGCAGGUGGUGUGUCCUCUCGUCUUGGCAUCUCCAGAGAGGCGUGCUUUGGCCAGAGCAGAAACAGACACGCUCAGGUGCAGUGAUCCAAGGGGAGAUCCCACUUCCUGUUGUUCUUCGUUUUUAUGGGAGCUGGCCGAUAAGAAGAGGGCAACCUCACACAGGAUAAAAAGCAAGACAUCUCCCUUCAUACACUUUGUCUCAGGUGGUCCCGCAUCCCUCCCCAGAGAGAAAAAAGCUCAACUACCAAACUGGUUCAAGGUCAGAUCCCCAGCUACCCAGGCCCCUGGUUGGCUCCAAGACAUCUGAUCACUGUAUCCCACUGGUCCUGGCCUUGAGCAUACGAAGCCCUGGCAUUUCCAUCUCUGGCCAGUGGGGCCAUGCUCAGAGAAAACAGUUGUAAGGGAUCUGUCACUAGGUCUUCUGGGUGCCUUGAUUUCAUCUUUAUAUAGCCCCUGACACAGGCACACUCAGGAAAUAUUGAGUGAAUCACUUCAUACUCUGGCAAGAGUGGAAGCUGAUAUGCAAUUAUAUAUUAUUAAUAGUUGUAUGUAUUGUUUCAGGAAAAAAAAAUUCUCUGAUCAAAUUUCUGUCAGAACUGAAAAUAAUAUGAUUUCUUCAUAGAAAAUAUUAUUUUCCUGCCAUUAUUUUCUGUUGUUGGUUCACUACCUUCUCUUCCCUCUCACUUUCCUCUUUGGCACUUGUACUCUCCUUCCAUGAAGUCAGGCAUCUGGAAAGAAUUUUUAGGGGCAUCAGAGCCAGUGGGAAUACGCUCUUUGCCUUCUGGGUUAGGUCACUCUCGUUUCUUGUAAUUUCUCUCCUAAAGC
rnacentral:lncRNA from 1 species